CUUUGACACAGGUGGCUCUGUCCAGGCCUCCCGAUGACAACAACAAGGUUCUGAACACAUACGCUACCAGCGAAGAGACAUACGCAGGUCUUAAUGAUACAGGCUCUUCCUUUUUUGAAGUGUACCAUGCUCUCGACAACACAUACGUGGUUCCUGGAUACACUGAGGAAUUGUACGCUAAUGUUCCUACUGAUUCUGCUGAUGAUGCCUACAUCACGUUUGAUGAGGACGGAUCUCCUAACUAUGGAAAUGUCAACUGCAACAGAAUGUUGGACUGAGAUUGCAGGAGUAAAACCACCGGCCAUGACCUUUUCCUCAACCUCGCCUCUGACCGGACUGACAUCAGACUGGUUUGUCACCGUUUCCCAGGGAGGAGAUUUAACUUUUGACUUUUUGUGGUUGAAAGUUUCCAGCUGUGAGGAAGCUUGAUGCUAAGACUGCUUUUCUUCCUCAUUCGUUCACUGCACUCUGUCUAGAUGCUCAAUGUCUUGUUCCUACCUUUAUCACACCUCAGCUCGACUGCCGGACAGUUAUUUUUACUGGUAAAACCAUAACUGGAUUACGG
ensembl:lncRNA